GCACCCACAAUGCCUUGUUUGCAGGUACUGGGCUCUUCAAUCUUGGUUCUAGCAAGAGCACCGCGUACUCCCUGGACUCUGGGAGGUCAGGGGUUAAGUGGGAGUGUUUGAAGAGGGGAGAGUAUGAGCCCUUUCCCUACGCAUUGCCCCAAAGAACCCACUGACUCCAUCUGUUUUUGAGUCGCCCUGUUGCUGUGGGACCCUGAACUCUACGCCCAUGGAGCCACCUCGCAGCCUCCGAGGCCCAGGGGCCAGGCUGGCUGGGCUGCUCCUCCGCCCUGAGCAGCCUGCUAGAGCAGAGGUCAGGAGAGGGAGAUCCAGUCCCAGCCAGCCUCUCUGAUAAGUUCUGUACAGCCUAUUCUCUGGGAUCACCAUCAUGAAGAUUCCGUAACACCAUAAAUGUGAAAGUUCUGGGAGAUAAACACUAUCAAUAUAAAAAAAUAUUUGGCUGGUGAGGGACUGAAUGAAUCAAGUCAGAGGCACUUGGCCAGCCAGGUUUCUUACACUGAAAAAAAUCCUCAGACCAUCUAACCUCCCAGUCCCCCGGAGUGGCUGUUCUCACCCUACUGUUAGUAGGGGACACUCCUGUGGUCUCCAUAGUCCAUAGGAAAGGGCUGAGCGUUUUCCUCUUGCUGAACCUGGAGUUCAGAGGCCAGAAGAAAUACCCACAUAAAUGCUGGCCUGAUUCAAGGGCAUCAGAUUUGGGGAGAGAACUUCAUUUCAUAAUAGCAGAGAAAUAGAUUAGCAGGCCUCUUGAGUAAGGUCCUAUAAUGACAGUAUUUAUUGAGCCCUGAGUGUUAUUGAGUGCCAUUACCUCAUUAGUCACAAAUACUCCUAUAUGAUACUCCUGUAAUUCCCACCUUACAGUUGAGGAAACUGAGGCACAGAGAAUAUAAGGUAACUUGUUCAAGCUAAGGUCUGAACCCAGGCAGUCUGACACAGCAGCCCAAACCCCUGACUCCUCAUCACACAAUUUUGAUUCUAUUGGACCACUCCGGGGAGCCUGCUGGGUGAGGGGCAAUUCUUGUUACAAUGAUCAACCCCAAAGAAAUUAUUCUGGACCUUUGCAGGGAGGUUGAAAACACUCCUCCAUCCCACCCAGUUCUAGGUCUACUUGAUAAGCUAGGAAUAAAGCUAUCUUCUGUAUCUUCUAGAAACUUCUGUUCCCUGGGGCGGUAGGGUAUUUAUUUGAACAGGGCUUCUUCUCCCCUCAAAGGCGCAUCUGCCCCAGCAACACGGGCAGCUCAUGGACACAGGCAGUGACAGCUUUCAGACAGGGAGCUGCUGGGGCGCCUGCCCUCUGCCAUACCUCUGAGAGGCAAGACCAGCUGGGCAGGACAGCCCACUGAACACUGAAAACCUGAGUCCUUUGUCCUUCUCCAGGAGGAGAGAUUUCCCCAGCCCCUCUCCUGAAGGCCCGGCUCUGCUUGGUUUUCUGGGCUCCUCGGGCAGGCAGCUGCCUUCUUGAAUGCCCAGUGAAUUCCAAAUUAGCUUAAUUCAUGAGGAAAAUAAAUACACAAAACCCCUCCAUAGCCAGAGAGUGAUUCGUCUACAAAGUCCUAAGUAGUAGAAAUAAAGUUUUGCCCCAAGGAGCUGUCUGGCUGUGUGCCCUCUCCAAACUACACGCUUGAAUUCACUACACUUACUGUGGGGAGAACAAGGAGAUACUGGCCAGCCACGGAUCAGCAAGGAACACGCUUUUAUUCUCCUGACCCUAGGACCGGGCACGAGCAGCCUGACGUUCGCUGCCCCCCCAAGAGGAGUGGAGUGCCGGAGGCCUAGGAACCUAGAAUAAAACCAGUCCGCACCAUGACGAUGACGACAUGGCCCUGGGCUGAUGGCCGUGAUCCUGGGCUUUGGGAGGGGCAGGUAUCCUUGAGUUCGGAUGGUGCCUUCCCUCCUCUGUCCUCCUCUCUUCCCCAACCCCUCCCUCCCAGAGGACAGAAGCCUGCUUCCCCAAAUUCUGGGGCGGGGGGGGCACCUCCCUUGGCCUCCUUCCCUGCUACCCCUUUGCUGAUAGACAAAAGGACACUAGCUUUGACUGAGCGCCUACUGUGUGCCCUGCCCUGCCCUGGGCUGGGCACUGUGUCACCAAAUGAAACAAAGAAGACCUACCUCCUGCCCUGUGGGGAGGUCAGGAGAAAGCAACUGUGAGCACUCUGAGGUCUGAAGGCAAACCCAUCCGAAGGGCGGUACUCAACAUGGCCGAGGCUGCGGAAAGAGCGAGACUUGGGUGUGGAGGAACAGGAAGAGAGCGGGAGCUGAGGCUGAGGAGGGAGAAGUCACCAAGUGGAGAAUUGGUCGGUGGGGACAGUCUUUCAAAGUACGUGCACACACUGUGACUCCCUUGACUCUUACAAGAAGAGAAGCGGCCAGAACAUAUACUCCCUAUUUCAGGGAUAAGGAAAUUGAGGCACAGCCUGGACAUGAAUGCCUAUGGUGUUUCCAUGCUCACGGCUGUUUCUUCAAGGCCAGGCUGGGACCUGGAUGGAGGAAGAGGUGGCCCAGGUGAUGGGGUACUGGAGGGAGAAGACAGAUGAGAGUCGGGGGACUCCUGAACUUUCCCUGUAGGCCACCUAGAGAGGCCUUCUUCAGUCACUGCUGCAGCCACUAACAGUAAUAACAGCUACUAUUUAUUGUUUUCUCUGUCUCAGAUGCACAAACACUGCACAAGGGAUUGAUAUGUGUGACUGCUUGGUAGCCACGAUCACUUUUAAUCCUCAAAAGAACCAAUAAGAUAGAUACUCGUAUUCUUAUGUUUCAGACAACCCCUUGUCUUGAUUUGGGGAGGUUAGGAACGCGCCCAGGACCUCAUGGCGAGUGGCAGAGCUGCGACCUGAAAGCCCACCCUCAUGACCAGGACACCUUGCUUCAGGUGACACAGGCAGACAAGACACAGACUACAAGAGCCACACUCCAACAGGCUUCAGCUGAACACAGCUGGACUUAGAAACGACCCUCCCCGCCCCCCUCCAAGGCUCCACAAAGAAGCCUGGUGGAAAUGCACGACACGCCGCAGACGCCCUUGGCCGUGCCGAGCCCAGGGGAUCCGCGCCACCCGAGCACAGAAAGCGCCCAGGCGCGCGACCGCCGCGUCGCACCCGCGUUUACCCCGACGGCACUCUCCUCCCCUUUCCUCUCUCCUCCUCCCCCACCCCGCGACCGGUCCCGCGCGGCGUCACUUGUUUUCGUGCCGCGGCGCCCGCCCCUCCCCACCGCCCGCUGACGUGGUUCCCGGCGCGUCGCUGCCCGGCCGACGGGAAGCGCUGCCCUUAUAUGGGCGCAGACUCCGGAGGGGCCGGGCGACAGCUGUCCGCCUCCCCAGCCCCGCGCUCGUCUUCCAAGCAGCUCCCAUGAAGGGGCAAAGGUGAGCCAGUUUGGGGAGAGGAUCUGGCUUUUCCAUCUCCUUCGAGAGCCGAGGCCGGGAGCGCCCAGGCGGGUCGCCUUCCCUCCCAGAUGUUAUCUCCCUGCAUCCUCCCUCCUGUGCAGAGCGAGAUUGAAAUGCAGAUGAAGACUUGGCCUGUAAUGGAUGCCCUCCGUUCUUUAAUUCCCCCCGGGUCCCUAAAGUCCAAGGCUGUGAUGUGGAGGCCAGUGUGCAGUAGUGGGAAGGACCUCCUUGCCUCUGCUGGCUGACCUUAAGCCUCCUAAUGCCUUUGGGCCUCAGUUUCCCUACUCAUAAAGUACAGAGGAUACUUGCCUCAUGGAUCAGAUGAACCUUCCACUUGUGGGUGCAAAACAGCUUGGUCAACUGUGAAGCGUUGUGCAAAAUCACGGGUCGUCACUUUGUGCCCUGGAAGAACCUGUUAGGGUGUCCCUUUGGAAGAAGGGAACAGCAGGGGCCCACAUGCUGACUCAGCCUCCAGAGCCUGCCUCUCUGGGGCCUCCCCCCCCCCC